rnacentral:piRNA from 1 species
UACAAAUAGCGGAGCCCACUGGGUGUGUGUG